rnacentral:lncRNA from 1 species
CCCCAGCCCUAAUCAGUAGUUUUGUAAAAAGGUUUACAGUUUCUUGCAGUGGACAAUGAACUGGGGGUCUGGCAGGAUGAUAUGUGGCUCAGAGGGAGUUCCCAUCUGCAAGCCAUGCUCACCAAAUAUGGGGAGAAAGGUGAUCCAAGAUGGAGCCAGUCUGCUUUCAGAGCUGGGUGACCAGUGAGGUGGGGGGAGCUGGGCAAUGGCCUUGUGCUGUGGGUAAGUAGCAGCUUAGUGACGUGUGGGAAUGGGGUGCAGCUUGGAGUUCUGCAGAGGGUCUGAGAGGUGUUUCUGCUGAGCCGCUCAAGAGCUGUUUGUGGCUAGAGCUGCGGGCUUUGGGCCUGGAGUCCAGAGUCUUACUCAUGUUGAGGCUCUGAAUUCUGCACUGGGCUUACAGCAUGGUGAUUUCUGUGAAAAUUCACUCUAUAGUGGAUUUUCACGCUCUCUGAGAUCCUGUAUUCCGAUGAGGUAAGACCUGGGCCACGGAACAACAGAGGAUGCUGCCUGUCUCUGGACCACCAUCUUGAAUUUCCCCCCUUCUGCUCUUGACAUGAUAUGGUACUCUUUCAACUUUCAAGGCCUCUUUAAAGAGCAGGGAAGAACUCAAACUGGAGAAAAGCCUUGAAUGUAGAAAUGUGGGGAGACAUUCAGUUGUUUCAGAUCCAGUUAGUCUUGUUCAGAUAUCAUCGAAUAUUUAUUAUUAUUAUUAUUAUUAUUAUUAUCAUCAUCAUCAUCAUCAUCAUCAUCAUCAUCAACUCAGAGGUGCUGAACCACUGAGCCACAUCCCUAGUCCUUUUUAGUUUUUUGUUUGUUUGUUUCAUAGAGUAUCUUGCUAAGUUCUUCCCAAGGGUUCCUUUUCUUGCUGAGGCUGGGUUGAAGCUUGCGAUCCUCCUGCUGUGGCCACUGGGAUCACAGACAUAUGCUACUGUGCUCAGCUCCUGGAUGUUUCCUGAAGCCCUGAUGUAAUCAAAAAGUGCCUUCUUUGUGUAGAGUUUCAGGUGUCACCAAUUCACAUGCAAGAAUUACUUCUUCAUGUGUUUCUGUAUAUUAACAUCCUUUAAGCUCUAAGAUUCUAAAAUGAUGCUGAUCAUCAUAAGAACAGUAAUACACACCUUUCAAAUUAUUAUUAGUUCAGUUGAAUUCCACUGGAGUUGACUUGGAAAAAAUGUAUAUUAGAUAAUUUAUGUGAAAACUGGGGUGGAAGAACUAUUUAAAUAUUUAAGGAAACCAACUAUUCAUUUCCAUUAAGAUCUCAUGAUAUAAUGAACUUUAAUUAAUGUUUCCUUCCAUGCACCAGACACAGGGAGAUAGAGGUUCUAAAAGCACCAGAAAAGCACCUUAGCAGGGUCACACUGUGUGGCUAUCAGAAAUGGUGAGGUGCUCAUGUGAGGGUGCUGUUCUUUCAUCCUCACUAUGUAAUGCAACUAUUGAUUUCUUUAAUUUUUCUCAAAAUGUUACUGCCCACCACUAUUCCUUCUCAAAAAUCAAUUGUUAUUUCAUGACUUCUCAAUUUAGUCUUGUGUCAUUCAGAAGUUUCAGACACAUUGUGUGUGUUAGUUGAGGCCUCUCCACUCCAGCCUUGUGUAUAGAUUAGUGAAAUAUCUCUUCCUUCCUUUUUUUUCUCCCUUCAUUAUUUCAGACAUUACCCAGGAGGGAUCCACCACUGAGCUUCACCCUAACCCUGUUAAUUGUUAUUCUUUAAAGAUAGAUUGAGGCUGCCUUGAACUUGUGGUCACCCUGCCUCAGCCUGCUAGCAGCUGGUACCAUGGUAUAUGCCCUUGUGUGGCCUGCAGCUGAUCUCUUCCUUUUCCUUGAUGCCUUAUUGGCCUGCUGAUGACUCUGCGACCACGACUCUGUCACUCAUUCUUUUCUAAGUCUCAUGUGUUGUACGGAGGCAUGUAAAAGAGCAUUAUAAAAUCUUGUAAUUUGUAUGUAUUGUUUGGAGAGGCACCUUCUCGAAAUAUACUUUGCCCUAUUAUUAAUGGAGUUGCUUUUUAUUUCUUUUCUUUCCCUGGUGUCAGGGACUCAGUCCUGCCUUGUGCAUGCUAGACAGGUGCUCUAGCACCAAGCACUCCCCUAGCUCAGGUGGUGAGUUUGCUGCUGCUGUGUGUGGACCCCAAUACUGUCCAUAUCAGCAGAUGCAGCUCUGCAGGUGUAUCCUCAUGUUUGCAGCUUGUCUUCUUUUUUCUUAAACGUCUUUUACAGCAGUGAAUUUUAAAUCCAACUUAGCUUUUCUCCCCAUGAUUAAUACUUGGGUGGAGUAAGCCAGAAAACCCAGGCUGGAUUUUUCUGUGUUUAGGGUACUGUACAUACAUAGGUGACUGCAUGACCAGUAUGACUCUGCAACAUGUACACACAGAAAAAUGAGAAAUGAUAUCCCAUCUUUGUAUGAUACAUCAAAGUGCAUAAAUACAUUCUAUAGUCAUGUAUAAGUAACUGAAAGAAAUAAAAUAAUUUUAAAACAAAACAAAUCCAGGUGCAAGGGCUCAUGCCUGUCAUUCCAGUAGCUCAGGAGGCUAAGGCAGGAGGACUGAGUUCAAAUCCAGCCUCAGACAUAGUGAGACGGUAAACAACUGACUGAGACCCAGUGUCUAAUAAAGUACAAAUUAGAGCUGUGGUGGUGGCUCAGUGUUUGAGGGCCCCUGAGUUCAAUUCACAGGACACAUCCCCUUCCUCUUAAAAAAAAAAAAAAAGGAAGAAACCUAAGGAAGAGGGGUAUGAGUCUUGUUGGGCACAGUGUCACACAGCUAUAAUUCCAGUGGCCAAGCAGGCUGAGGGAGAGGGAUCACAAACAUAGACAGCUGCAACUUAGUGAGGUCCUGAGAAACUAACAAGAUCCUGUGUCAAAAAUUUUAAAGGUCUAGGAAUGUUGCUCAGUGGUUGUGCUCUCCGGGCUCAAUCCCCAGUCGUUGUUCAAACAGCACAAAUUAUAGGUAUAAGCUUAAUAUUUUAAUAAGCUCUGUCAUGUCAGAAAAUGGUGAAAAAACUUACAUCGGCAUAAUAAAAUCAGGGAAAUAGGUUAAAAUAUCCUAGAAUUGAUUAGUUCAAAUAUAUAUAGUCAGUCUAGUUAUACAUAAAUCUGUUUCUCAAUUGUUUUAACUAUCCAUGUCAUCUGUCUAAAUAAUUAUAUAAACAUUUUCUUAUUUAGGAAAACCCUUUCAUCAUGAAAAAUUAGAAUAUAAAGACCUUUUAAUUUACCUGAAGAUGAUUUCUUUUUUCUUAGUAGAGAUCCUUUUUUUCUGUUACUUAGAGCUGGAUAAUUAUACUAGCAAAUAUGUGUUUCUUCUCUGUAGAAACAUCUUCUUUUUCUUCUUUACAAAUCUUUUUUUGUUUGUUUGUUUUACUUUGGAACAAUUUUUAUAAAUCUUAGAAUCUAAACAAAUUAUUUAUUGUACCUUGAUAAGAAAUGUCUCAGUGAAAAUAUAGUCAAUAUUCUGUUGACAGAAUCAUAUCUAUUAAUCUUCUUAUAAAUAUUGGUGCAGUCAUAUGAUAAUUAGAGAUUGCUUGGUGGUUGUAUAUCUUUUGAAAUAGAUAUUUUAUAAUAAAAUACAUUCAUCUUAAAUAUCUGUAUUAUAAAAUGCAGAGCAUGAGAUAAAUGCAUGUAUAUAAAAUAUAAUUUAUGUUUUCUGUUGAAAAUGAUUAGAAUCAAAUAGAUACAUAUUAAUUAAAAAUCAGACAUAUAUGUCAAUUAUUUUAUGAAUUAAGGACUAUAGAUUAUCCAAAUAACUGGAAAGAUAUGCAUUCAUAAUAAAAAUAUAACUUAGUGUUAUACAACCAUGGAAUUUUAAAGUGAGUCUCAUUAAACCAUGUGGCUCUUAAAAGUAUUUGGACCCAUUUAUUUUACUU